rnacentral:lncRNA from 1 species
GCCUUUCUCUAGUGAAACCUCCCUUUGUCCUCAUCCUUCCUCCUCUGCCAAUCUCACACUCUGGGUUGUGGCGUUGUUUCUACCAGUGACCCCAUUCAACACAUGAUGUUAUGGAACGAGGCAGGGUGGGGACAUCCCAGUCGAGGAUCCUCCUGGAAGCUCUGAAGGAGAGUUUGUUCCUGGUGUCCUGCUUCUCUGCUCUGCCUGGGAGGAUGCUGAAUCAGAACAUUAAAAUAGUCUCUCAACUGAAGCCAAGUAAAGGAAGUCCUGGCUCUGUCAGCGAAACGUCAGCUAUAACCUUUCAAACCAUGGUGACGG